GGUCAAGCUACAAAGGGCGCAUGGUGAAUGCCUUGGCAUCAGGAGCCGAUGAAGGACGUGAUAAGCUGCGAUAAGCUUCGGGUAGGCGCACAUAGCCUGAGAUCCGAAGAUCUCCGAAUGAGGAAACUCACAUGGGAAACCCCAUGUAUCAUUAAGUGAAUACAUAGCUUAAUGAAGGUAACCCAGGGAACUGAAACAUCUAAGUACCUGGAGGAAGAGAAAGAAAAAUCGAUUUUCUUAGUAGCGGCGAGCGAAAGGGAAAGAGCCCAAACCGGAAACUUGUUUCCGGGGUUGAGGACAUAACAUAAAGAGAAGUAAUGGCUAAUUGAAGAGAACUGGAAAGUUCCACCGUAGAAGGUAAUAGUCCUGUAAAUGAAAGCUAGUAUAAUCGAGUUAUGAUCCAGAGUACCACGAGACACGUGAAACCUUAUGGGAAGCAGGGAGGACCACCUCCCAAGGCUAAAUACUACCUGAUGACCGAUAGUGAAGCAGUACCGUGAGGGAAAGGUGAAAAGAACCCCGGGAGGGGAGUGAAAUAGAACCUGAAACCGUGUGCCUACAACCGCUCAGAGCCCCUUAUGAGGGUGAUGAGGUGCUUUUUGUAGAACGAGCCAACGAGUUACGGUAUGUAGCAAGGUUAAGUACUUAAGGUACGGAGCCGAAGGGAAACCGAGUCUGAAUAGGGCGAUUAGUUGCAUGCCGUAGACCCGAAACCGGGUGACCUAUCCAUGGCCAGGUUGAAGCGAGGGUAAAACCUCGUGGAGGACCGAACCACGUUGCUGUUGAAAAAGCAUGGGAUGAGCUGUGGAUAGCGGAGAAAUUCCAAUCGAACCCGGAGAUAGCUGGUUCUCUCCGAAAUAGCUUUAGGGCUAGCGUCGAGUAUGAGUAGUGGAGGUAGAGCACUGAAUGGGCUAGGGGGCAUAGCGCUUACCGAACCUUAUCAAACUCCGAAUGUCACAUACUUUGAGCUCGGCAGUCAGACUACGAAUGAUAAGAUCCGUGGUCAAAAGGGAAACAGCCCAGAUCGUCAGCUAAGGUCCCAAAGUGUAAGUUAAGUGGGAAAGGAUGUGAGAUUUCUAAGACAACUAGGAUGUUGGCUUAGAAGCAGCCAUUCAUUAAAAGAGUGCGUAAUAGCUCACUAGUCGAGAGAUCUUGCGCCGAAAAUGUAACGGGGCUAAACUUACCACCGAAGCUACGGGCUUGAACAUAGUUCAAGCGGUAGGAGAGCGUCGUAACCGGGCUGAAGUCGUACCGUAAGGAGCGGUGGACUGGUUACGAGUGAGAAUGUUGGCAUCAGUAGCGAGAUGUGGGUGAGAAUCCCACAGGCCGAAAACCUAAGGUUUCCUCAGGAAGGUUCGUCCGCUGAGGGUUAGUCGGGACCUAAGCCGAGGCCGAA
rnacentral:rRNA from 1 species